GAGUCAGUGGAUCAUGGAAGAUGAAUAAGGAUCUAAUACACUUCCAUAGAAGAAUAUUGACUUACAUUGUCAUUAAGUCAAUGUAUUACAAAUUCAAUCUAAUUAAUUUUCCAUCUACGUUGAUUUAUUUAAUUUUGGAUCUAUUGCGGAACAGCUUACAUAAAUUUCGAGCUACAACUGGGCGAUGUUUUGGAGCUAUUGUGGAUUUUCUUAAUUAAUUUACUCGAGAAUGAUACAGUUGGAAUUGUUUUUUUUAUUGAGCAUAGUCUAGUUUCUUUAGCUUAGGAUAGUAUCUUCUUG